rnacentral:rRNA from 1 species
UACGGAGGAUGCGAGCGUUAUCCGGAUUUAUUGGGUUUAAAGGGUGCGCAGGCGGAUUUGUAAGUCAGCGGUGAAAUCUCCAGGCUCAACCUGGAAUGUGCCGUUGAAACUGCAGAUCUUGAGUAUGGAUGAAGUAGGCGGAAUUCGUUGUGUAGCGGUGACAUGCUUAGAUAUAACGAGGAACUCCGAUUGCGUAGGCAGCUUACUAAACUAUAACUGACGCUCAUGCACGAAAGCGUGGGGAUCAAACAGG